GCCGAGGUGGCGGAACUGGCAGACGCGCUACGUUCAGGGCGUAGUGGGCGAAAGCUCGUGUGGGUUCAACUCCCUCCCUCGGCACCU
rnacentral:tRNA from 1 species